rnacentral:rRNA from 1 species
GACAGAGGCCUCGAGCGUUAGGCGGAAUCACUGGGCUUAAAGCGUGUGUAGGCGGGCCCGUAAGUGUCUUGUGAAAUCCCCCGGCUCAACCGGGGAACGGCUGGGCAUACUGCGGGUCUUGGGCCGACUAGGGGCAGCCGGAACAAGCGGUGGAGCGGUGAAAUGCGUAGAUAUCGCUUGGAACGCCGAAGGUGAAAACAGGCUGCUGGGGUAGCGCCGACGCUGAGACACGAAAGCCAGGGGAGCAAACGGG